ensembl:lncRNA
CAGAGUCAGCGCAUGGUGACAGUUCGGAGGCCAUCUGAUCCUCUCUGGGCCGUCGUCUCUUACCAGCGAAUCUGCACAUUGUGACAACAGCCAUGUCCCGGUCAGGUGCAAGGUCAACUGAGGUCAUACGGUCAUCUGUCUUAAUACUCAGCCCUCGUGUGCCGUGGAUACGAACUCCACCUCGCUAUGGUUACUGGCAGCCAAACAGCAGUCAACAGUGCAGCGAACCGGAGGCGAUCCGUCGCCUGCCAGACCAAACUCCAUUUGAGCGAGCUCGUAUCUGCUCUGCAUCAAC